UACGAAGGGGACUAGCGUUGUUCGGAAUCACUGGGCGUAAAGCGCACGUAGGCGGAUGUGUCAGUCAGGGGUGAAAUCCCGGGGCUCAACCUCGGAACUGCCUUUGAUACAGCACGUCUCGAGUCCGGAAGAGGUGGGUGGAAUUCCUAGUGUAGAGGUGAAAUUCGUAGAUAUUCGCAAGAACACCAGUGGCGAAGGCGGCUCACUGGCCCGGUACUGACGCUGAGGUGCGAAAGCGUGGGGAGCAAACAGG
rnacentral:rRNA from 1 species